rnacentral:rRNA from 1 species
AGCAGUAGCCGCGGUAAUACAGAGGGUGCGAGCGUUAAUCGGAUUUACUGGGCGUAAAGCGUGCGUAGGCGGCUUCUUAAGUCGGAUGUGAAAUCCCUGAGCUUAACUUAGGAAUUGCAUUCGAUACUGGGAAGCUAGAGUAUGGGAGAGGAUGGUAGAAUUCCAGGUGUAGCGGUGAAAUGCGUAGAGAUCUGGAGGAAUACCGAUGGCGAAGGCAGCCAUCUGGCCUAAUACUGACGCUGAGGUACGAAAGCAUGGGGAGCAAACAGGAUUAGAGACCCGCGUAGUCCCUGUCUCUUAUAC